rnacentral:rRNA from 1 species
CCUACGGGCGGCAGCAGUGAGGAAUAUUGGUCAAUGGACGAGAGUCUGAACCAGCCAAGUAGCGUGAAGGAUGACUGCCCUAUGGGUUGUAAACUUCUUUUAUAUGGGAAUAAAAUGUUCCACGUGUGGGAUUUUGUAUGUACCAUAUGAAUAAGGAUCGGCUAACUCCGUGCCAGCAGCCGCGGUAAUACGGAGGAUACGAGCGUUAUCCGGAUUUAUUGGGUUUAAAGGGAGCGUAGGUGGAUUGUUAAGUAAGUUGUGAAAGUUUGCGGCUCAACCGUAAAAUUGCAGUUGAAACUGGCAGUCGUGAGUACAGUAGAGGUGGGCGGAAUUCGUGGUGUAGCGGUGAAAUGCUUAGAUAUCACGAAGAACUCCGAUUGCGAAGGCAGCUCACUGGACUGCAACUGACACUGAGGCUCGAAAGUGUGGGUAUCAAACAGGAUUAGAUACCCCUGUAGUA